rnacentral:rRNA from 1 species
AAGUCGUAACAAGGUUUCCGUAGGUGAACCUGCGGAAGGAUCAUUACAGAGUUCAUGCCCUCACGGGUAGACCUCCCACCCUUGAAUACUAUACCUUUGUUGCUUUGGCGGGCCGCUUCGGCUACUGGCUCCGGCUAGUAAGUGCCCGCCAAAGGACCCCGAAACUCUGAAUAUUAGUGUCGUCUGAGUACUAUAUAAUAGUUAAAACUUUCAACAACGGAUCUCUUGGUUCUGGCAUCGAUGAAGAACGCAGCGAAAUGCGAUAAGUAAUGUGAAUUGCAGAAUUCAGUGAAUCAUCGAAUCUUUGAACGCACAUUGCGCCCCUUGGUAUUCCGAGGGGCAUGCCCGUUCGAGCGUCAUUAUAACCCCUCAAGCCUAGCUUGGUGUUGGGGCCUGCUGUUACCGGCAGCCCUUAAAAUCAGUGGCGGUGCCAUCUGGCUCUAAGCGUAGUAAUACUUCUCGCUACAGGGUCCUGGUGGAUGCUUGCCAUCAACCCCUAAUUUUCUAUGGUUGACCUCGGAUCGGGUAGGGAUACCCGCUGAACUUAA